AGACACCACUGCAUUACUGUGUUGCCUUGGGGGACAAGGUGAAUUUUACUAGUGCUGGUCUGCCACUGUCAAUAAGGUACUUGUGCCUGAGGCAGCUAAUAGAAUUUAUGCGUUUGGUAUAGUGAGGAACUUCAGACAGAGAGCUACACUGCAAGCCAAAAGGUAUUUUUUAAAUAUAACCUAGUGUUUCUGCUACAUAGAGGUAGAAUUUCUGUCUUUUUUAAAUCUAUACUUAGAAGCAACUGGGUCUAAUGGCACAAAAUAACUGAAUAAAGCUGUAGGGUAUAUUAUCUUGUAAAGCAAUGUUUCUACUCUACUACCAGCAGAACAUUCAUCUUUUGACAUAUUGUUCAUAUUUAGGCAUGAAACUUGUGCUCUCAUUUUCUUUCACUUUUAAGUCAAUUUGUAUGUGUCAAUAUUGCAUGUCUUCAGUCAUUCUUAGUCGUUUCAGGGAGCAUUAUGGGAGUCGGUUGCCCAACUCAUCUGUACCGACUAGUAAACGCAUACAAGUGACGGAUGCCUGCCUUUAUGGUACAUGUGAACAAGAUGCUGGCACAAACAUCGGUGAAUCAGCUGAGACACAAAUCAGCUCCAAGAAUCAGCUGUGUGUUUGCGCAUGGAGCACUGAUUUACACCAUGAACCUGAGAACCCUUGCAAAAUGCACUGCUGCAGGAACAAAAACACUGAUAGCCCAUCUCCAGUUGUGUAAAAUGAAAAGAAUAAAAAUUUGCCUCUA